rnacentral:misc_RNA from 1 species
GUUCCAUCCUGGAGCCGGCCUGUGCCUGCGGUCGAGGGCGAACACAAGAUACCGAGGGUUGAUCUCUGAAUGAUCUUGUGGGCUGAGUUUUCUUUCUUCAGAUAUGGAGAGAGUGCGCAUUUGGUCAAGUUGCUUCCGUCGUCAAGUCAUAUCUUUCCAGGAAGCCCUUGAUUGGCGAUUUCUCAUUCUCGGAGAUUUCCUCAUCUCGUUCGUCAACUGCACCUAGUGGGCUGGAGUUGUUCAUGAACCCCAAGAGCGACCUGAUGCUAGAGUCCUCUGAAGUUUGUGUUGGAUUGGAAGCUCACUUCUACAAUGCAAUGCCAGCACAGCUUCUGCUUGGAGUGAUUCUGUCUGAAGGGCUUGACGUCAGAGACAUAAAUUGGGGUUAAGCUGUGAACAACGGUGGUGCUUUUUU